UCUAGAGAGUGACUCACCUGGGGAUC
rnacentral:piRNA from 1 species